UACAGAGGUCCCAAGCGUUGUUCGGAUUCACUGGGCGUAAAGGGUGCGUAGGUGGCUUGGUAAGUUCGAUGUGAAAUCUCCGGGCUUAACCUGGGAAUUGCGUUGGAGACUGCAAGGCUUGAAUCUGGCAGAGGGGGGGUAGAAUUCCACGUGUAGCAGUGAAAUGCGUAGAGAUGUGGAGGAACACCGAUGGCGAAGGCAGCCCCCCUGGGUCAAGAUUGACGCUCAUGCACGAAAGCGUGGGGAGCAAACAGG
rnacentral:rRNA from 1 species